rnacentral:rRNA from 1 species
AUGAACGCUGACAGAAUGCUUAACACAUGCAAGUCGACUCGAGUCUUCGGACUUGGGUGGCGCACGGGUGAGUAACGCGUAAAGAACUUGCCUCUUAGACCGGGACAACAUCUGGAAACGGAUGCUAAUACCGGAUAUUAUGGUUUUUUCGCAUGGAGGAAUCAUGAAAGCUAGAUGCGCUAAGAGAGAGCUUUGCGUCCCAUUAGCUAGUUGGUGAGGUAACGGCCCACCAAGGCAAUGAUGGGUAGCCGGCCUGAGAGGGUGAACGGCCACAAGGGGACUGAGACACGGCCCUUACUCCUACGGGAGGCAGCAGUGGGGAAUAUUGGACAAUGGACCACAAGUCUGAUCCAGCAAUUCUGUGUGCACGAUGACGUUUUUCGGAAUGUAAAGUGCUUUCAGUCGGGAAGAAGUCAGUGACGGUACCGACAGAAUAAGCGACGGCUAAAUACGUGCCAGCAGCCGCGGUGUGACGUAUGUCUCAAGCGUUAUCCGGAUUUAUUGGGUGUUGUGCGCGUCUAGGCGGCUAGGAAAGUCUGAUGUGAAAAUGCGGAGCUCAUUGCCUUAUGGCGUUGGAUGCUGCCUU